CAGUAGCCGCGGUAAAACAGAGGGUGCGAGCGUUAAUCGGAUUUACUGGGCGUAAAGCGUGCGUAGGCGGCUUUUUAAGUCGGAUGUGAAAUCCCUGAGCUUAACUUAGGAAUUGCAUUCGAUACUGGGAAGCUAGAGUAUGGGAGAGGAUGGUAGAAUUCCAGGUGUAGCGGUGAAAUGCGUAGAGAUCUGGAGGAAUACCGAUGGCGAAGGCAGCCAUCUGGCCUAAUACUGACGCUGAGGUACGAAAGCAUGGGGAGCAAACAGGAUUAGAUACCCCCGUAGUCCCUGUCUCUUAUAU
rnacentral:rRNA from 1 species